UACGAAGGGGGCUAGCGUUGCUCGGAAUUACUGGGCGUAAAGGGCGCGUAGGCGGAUAGUUUAGUCAGAGGUGAAAGCCCAGGGCUCAACCUUGGAAUUGCCUUUGAUACUGGCUAUCUUGAGUUCGGGAGAGGUGAGUGGAAUGCCGGGUGUAGAGGUGAAAUUCGUAGAUAUUCGGCGGAACACCAGUGGCGAAGGCGGCUCGCUGGGCCGAUACUGACGCUGAGGCGCGAAAGCGUGGGGAGCAAACCGG
rnacentral:rRNA from 1 species